CUCUACUUUUUCCUGGCUUUUGUUCACCAAAAAAAACCAUCCCACGUUAGCAGAGCCAUGUUACAAACUGCUUCCCGCUUCUGUUGUUUAGCGUUUUGUAGCUACCGCGGCUGGCCAACAGGCUGUAAAUCUUGCCUGGUGUUUUGUAACAAAGGAAAAAAUAGAAUGAUUUGUGUUGACUUUUGGUCAUCGUGUAUCAUUAUCGAUCCGGGGGAGGGCGGCGAGGAGCGCCUACCGCGGAUCUGUUGCUCGCCACUUCUCCGGGAAGGCGGCGUGAGCCGGCAGUCAGUAGAGGGCAAUAGAGAAAUACAGUUUGUGAUGCCUAAAGGAUUUGAAGCCCUGAUUAUGUGUUUACAGAAAAGAAAAAGAAGAAAAGAAGAGCCAGGAGGAUAGGUUGUUCAGUUUACUACCGGAGACCUGACUGUGACAGAGCACCAAGAAAACAAAAUGUUCAAAGAGAGUAAAGAAGACCUUCUACAGCAUUUGCAAGUCUGUCCUUUUCUCUUCAGAGUUACGUAGGAUAACUUAGCCAGAACUUAUGGAUGUCUGCAUGUUCAGUGGACUCGGGAAUGCACUGGGAGAUGCAGAAACGUACUCUUUGGAAGAAACAGGAGAGGAGGCAUUUCAAAGAUCCUGCAGGUGACAAAGGGCCAGUGUAGGUACAGUCACAUCUCUCUCCCAGGAGGACGAUGGGCCAGACUGCAGAGAAAGGCACCAGACAGGGUGAUGAUCUGCUGACAGAAUAAAUAAAUCAUAGAAAGUGCCGACACUGCACAGGCAUUUGCUGUGGUAUCACUCCCACAUGAGGAACCUUCAUCACAGUCUUUCUUCAAGUAUGUUCUCUCCUGUGAGUUCAUUAUUUUGCAGAGGAUGGGUCUUUCUUCCCUGCAGGGAUCUAUCUAUCACUGCUGACUCUCUGCGUCUUCUCCACAUGGAAGAAGUAAUUGGAUUGUAUUUUCUGCACACGACCAAGACAGCAGGGAAACCCACAGCUGUAAGCUAGAGAACCAAGCUGUCUAGAGAGCUGGGCCUGGGCCUCACCAGCAUGCUUAAUGUCAUCAGGACUAAGGACAUGAGGAGAAUGAGGUAUCCCUACCCAGCAGUGACACUAUGCCAGUACAAAGAUCAAAACCCAAAGUGACUGCACCUCAGACAAAGGAGGAGAAAGGGAAGUUGUUGAGGUCACCACAGAGAUGUCUGAUUUACAAUUCCACCAAGGUACAUAUGUUGUGUCACAGCUCCGUCUCUUCUCCCCAGUGCCUGUGGAGGCAUCUUUCAGCAUGACACAUCCCAUCUUUGACUCACCAGAAGACAUGCUUCAAUUCAGCUAUAAAAUAGGAACUUAAGGAAAGAGCUUGAAAGUCUGUGGCAACUGAUGUAUGACACAAUUGUGAAGUUUAAUUCCAUUCUGAAGACCAAUGAGUAGACAAAGAUUCCUAUUUCUAAGAAAACAAAGACAUAAAUCUACAGCCACUUUGACAAACGAUGUGUGGAUUUCUCCUGGGAAACAUGCAAAGAAGGACCACGCCAAUGGAAAAGCUGUCCCAAGAUUAUGUCACCUACAUGUAUCAUGAAGGAAUUUUCUUCUUGGCUGCUCAAAGGAGGAUUUUUAACAUUUGCCUCCCAUUUACUCCACAACAUUUCAUUGCUGGAUAACUUGUACUUUUUCACACCAUUUUAAUUUGAUGGCAUGUACGAGUAAUGCAGAGACCUUUCUUUCCUAAGGGAAAUUAAGAAAAUAAUUCAUUCUUUCACUCAGUAACUCAACUGAAUUCAAUUUGGGUUCAUUAUUUUAGGAAAGGUAUUUACCUAGUUCUGUCAAAUUAAAAAAUGGAAAGAAAAAUGCCAAUAAUACCGACCAUUUUGUCAUCACGAUUCUUAGUUCUUUCAUGCCAUGCUUCCACCACAGAGACCUUAAUUUUGCAAAGGGAAAAACUAACAUGAAAUCUUAGAAGGCAUAAGUCACAUUUGCAAUUUCUGCAUGUUACUAAAUAUUUACAUACAUUAUGGGCAUGGAACAAAACUUCAGCAAAGCAGUUUUCACAUUUUUUUGUUUUUUGAGCUCAUUUUUGAGCUCAUUAAAAGGUUUUCAUUUUAAUUUUUUUCUUACAUUUAUUUAAAUAUAUAUUUGCCAUAGGAAUUGCAUGCAUAGAAAAAGGUGUAAUAAAAAGGCAGGAGUAUCAGCUGCAUUAUGUGUCCCUAAGAGACAGAGAAAAAACAAUAUUUGAAAAUCUGUGGCACAGGGCCCUUCUGGCAGCUGCUGAUCUCAUUCCUAUCCCUUACAUGGGGUUGUUAACGCAAGGACGCAUAUGGGAAUGGCUGAGGACUGGAGAGGCCACGACCAAAGUGAAUAUUGAUUCUCUUUUUCCUUUGUGUGGCUGCCUGUGUAGAAAACAUCGAUCAGUAGUGCAGCCUGAGAGAAGGCUGAAUGAAUUAAUGGAAGAGAGAACCUUCUCAGAACUACUGAAUCCACAGAAAAUCAGCCUGGCUUGGGAUGCGUCUGGGCUGCAAGUGCUUUGCAGUAGAGAGGAGAGGCUGCUUGCAAUUCUCCGGUCUCACGCUCCUCGUUCCAACAUCAGCUCUAGGGCGUUAGCAUUAGCUGUUCUUAUUUCAUUAUGCUUUUAUUUACUGUUGGCAGGAGAGAAGGAUUGGAAGCUGCCCAGAGUACUGGCUGCAGCCACUGAGAGACCUCUCUUUCUUCAGGGCUGGCUGCAGCACAGAAUUGACGGGUGCUGAGUAAAUGUGUUUCAUAUCCAGAGAAAAUUUUCCAGAGUGCCUAAAUGGCUUGAAACUGCAGGUUCUGUUGGACAAGAUCAAGUAACUUUCUUGGGAAGCUGCUUCCAGUUAACUUUCUCUCUUUUUGUCUCUCUCCCCGUGUUUGUGCAUUUCAAUUAUGCAGAAAUUUAUCAUUUAGCUCCACUUCCCUUUAUUUAAGAAGGUAAGGAACAGUGAGCUUCAAAACUGAAACCUUUUAACUUCAAACAUUCUGUUUCUGAUAGAAAAACACGUAUUUCUUUUUUAAUUCUCAGUCAUGUUAACUGGUAAUGGUAACUUUGUACCCACAAGCCCAGAACACUAGAUGGAUAGACUGCAGCAAAACGAGUUACAUGUUGUAUUUAGAAACAAGUACCUGUAAAAAAUUUACCUGUCUGCCAAGACUUGGAAAAAUGAGAAAGCAAGUUCAGCUCAGUACACAGAGCAGUUCCUCACUGUCUGACUCUCCUCAUGGCUGCUGGGAAACCUGGCAUGUCAGGUAACACAUGCUGAGCAAGAGCCAAAAAGCCCCUUGUUGCUUGUAAAAAUCAAACAAGCUCCUUGUUGGAAAACAGCUCUUUUCAGAGGCAGUACAGCUGCAGAUGAUGCUGUAGCCACACUACUCAGCCAGAGUACCUACCAUGGACCAGCUUUCAGCAGUGCCAGCAGGUAGUCAAAGAUGCAAGGUUUACAGGCCUGUUUGGAUCAGCUCCUUUUCAAAGGUUCAGAGGCACGGAUUGCAUCGAAUGGCCUGGAACACCUGGGUGUAACCUCGAGUUUGUCUCAUCAAGGUGAUUUGAUUGACAGAGGCACUGUUGGAGCAGGUGCUGCCAAAUGGAGAGCAUCAUGAUAGCUGAGCCCUACUGGAUGUGUUCAGAGGCUGGAUGGAGGCCAUUCAAGCUUUUUCACCUCUAUUUUAUACCAAGUUUGGAACAACGUGGUUUAAUUGAUACAGUGGUGUUCAGCCAAAUGUUGGACUUGAUGAUCUUGUCGGUCAUUUCCAGCCCUAAUUAUUCUGUGAUUCUAUGAAUAUAGGUAUUCACUGCCAGACAUCUGUGCCAUUCAGUUUACAGGAUUGUCCAGAUGCUAGGUAUUUAUAUUUUGUAUCCUUUACACAGAUUAAAGGGUAUCUGCAGUCUAGGCUUUUAAUUUUUAAGCCCUGUAACAAGACUGUAUCAGUUAUGUCUGAGAAUAUCAGGAUUUGGCAAAAGUUUUGCACAGGGACAUGGAUAAUGCUUACUUCCUUUUUUCCCUUUUUUCUUUUACUAAUUAAAGGCAAAACACAAACCUGUGCAUUUUUAAGCAGCUCUCUGAAAUUUCAUGGCUUUAUAAUUAUUAUCUAUUGGACUGAAAAUGAAAUCUGAAAUUAGACAUAAAAGUCACAAUAUUACCAGUCCUGGGUUUAAGGCUUAUAUUGCUGUGAAUUUCUAGGAAAAUAUUUAAGAAUCAAUUUAAAUGCUAAUGGACUUGUUUGCCAUAAAACUAGGCAGUAGUCAUACUCAAUAGCUGCUUCAGAGCCAUAGUAUGGGUCUUUCCUUCACUGGACUUCAUUUGUGACAUUAAAUUUAGAGAUGUUGCCAUGUAUCAUAGACCUAAUAG